rnacentral:rRNA from 1 species
GACGAACGCUGGCGGCGUGCCUAAUACAUGCAAGUAGAACGCUGAAGCUUGGUGCUUGCACCGAGCGGAUGAGUUGCGAACGGGUGAGUAACGCGUAGGUAACCUGCCUGGUAGCGGGGGAUAACUAUUGGAAACGAUAGCUAAUACCGCAUAAUAGUAGAUGUUGCAUGACAUUUGCUUAAAAGGUGCAAUUGCAUCACUACCAGAUGGACCUGCGUUGUAUUAGCUAGUUGGUGAGGUAACGGCUCACCAAGGCAACGAUACAUAGCCGACCUGAGAGGGUGAUCGGCCACACUGGGACUGAGACACGGCCCAGACUCCUACGGGAGGCAGCAGUAGGGAAUCUUCGGCAAUGGACGGAAGUCUGACCGAGCAACGCCGCGUGAGUGAAGAAGGGUUUCGGAUCGUAAAGCUCUGUUGUAAGAGAAGAACGAGUGUGAGAGUGGAAAGUUCACACUGUGACGGUAGCUUACCAGAAAGAGACGGCUAACUACGUG